rnacentral:rRNA from 1 species
GAGUAACGCAUAGGAAUUUACCCGAUAGUGGGGGAUAACCUGGGGAAACUCAGGCUAAUACCGCAUACGUCCUACGGGAGAAAGGGGGCCUUGGCUCCCGCUAUCGGAUGAGCCUAUGCCGGAUUAGCUGGUUGGUGAGGUAAUGGCUCACCAAGGCGACGAUCCGUAGCUGGUCUGAGAGGAUGAUCAGCCACAUCGGGACUGAGACACGGCCCGAACUCCUACGGGAGGCAGCAGUGGGGAAUAUUGGACAAUGGGGGCAACCCUGAUCCAGCCAUGCCGCGUGUGUGAAGAAGGCCCUCGGGUUGUAAAGCACUUUCAGCGAGGAAGAACGCCUGGCGGUUAAUACCCGCCAGGAAAGACAUCACUCGCAGAAGAAGCACCGGCUAACUCCGUGCCAGCAGCCGCGGUAAUACGGAGGGUGCAAGCGUUAAUCGGAAUUACUGGGCGUAAAGCGCGCGUAGGUGGCUUGAUAAGCCGGUUGUGAAAGCCCCGGGCUCAACCUGGGAACGGCAUCCGGAACUGUCAGGCUAGAGUGCAGGAGAGGAAGGUAGAAUUCCCGGUGUAGCGGUGAAAUGCGUAGAGAUCGGGAGGAAUACCAGUGGCGAAGGCGGCCUUCUGGACUGACACUGACACUGAGGUGCGAAAGCGUGGGUAGCAAACAGGAUUAGAUACCCUGGUA